rnacentral:rRNA from 1 species
UGAGUACGAGCGGCUACGGCCGCGAAGUGGAUGAUGUCAAGCUUCCAAGAAAAGCCCUAUACCCGUUAAGGCAUGAUGGCCUGUACCCGAAACCGACACAGGUGGGGUGGUAGAGAAUACCGAGGGGCGCGAGGUAACUCUCUCUAAGGAACUCGGCAAAAUGGCCCCGUAACUUCGGGAGAAGGGGUGCCACCGCGAGGUGGUCGCAGUGAAGAGGCCCAGGCGACUGUUUACCAAAAACACAGGUCUCCGCUAAGUCGCAAGACGAUGUAUGGGGGCUGACGCCUGCCCAGUGCCGGAAGGUUAAGGAAGCUGGUCAGCGCAAGCGAAGCUGGCGACUGAAGCCCCGGUGAACGGCGGCCGUAACGAUAACGGUCCUAAGGUAGCGAAAUUCCUUGUCGGGUAAGUUCCGACCCGCACGAAAGGCGUAACGAUCUGGGCGCUGUCUCGGAGAGAGGCUCGGCGAAAUAGAAUUGUCUGUGAAGAUGCGGACUACGUGCACCCGGACAGAAAGACCCUAUGAAGCUUUACUGUAGCUUGGUAUUGUGCUCGGGCUCGGAAUGCGCAGGAUAGGUGGGAGGCUUUGAUCCAUUGCUUGCGGGUGAUGGUGAGCCACUGGUGAGAUACCACUCUUUCCGAGCUAGAGUUCUAACAGCAACCCGUUAUCCGGGUGCUGGACAGUAUCAGGUGGGCAGUUUGACUGGGGCGGUCGCCUCCUAAAAGGUAACGGAGGCGCGCAAAGGUCUGCUCAGGCUGGUUGGAAAUCAGCCGACGAGUGUAAAAGCAGAAGCAGGCUUGACUGUGAGACCUACAAGUCGAACAGGGAGGAAACUCGGCUUUAGUGAUCCGACGGUUCUGCGUGGAAGGGCCGUCGCUCAACGGAUAAAAGUUACUCUAAGGAUAACAGGCUGAUCUCCCCCAAGAGUUCACAUCGACGGGGAGGUUGGCACCUCGAUGUCGGCUCAUCGCAACCUGGGGCUGAAGUCGGUCCCAAGGGUUGGGCUGUUCGCCCAUUAAAGCGGUACGCGAGCUGGGUUCAGAACGUCGUGAGACAGUUCGGUCCAUAUCCGGUGCACGCGCAGGAAUAUUGAGAGGAUUUCUCCCUAGUACGAGAGGACCGGGAGGAACGCACCUCUGGUGUGCCAGUUAUCGUGCCAACGGUAAACGCUGGGUAGCCAUGUGCGGAGUGGAUAACCGCUGAAAGCAUCUAAGUGGGAAGCCCACCUCAAGAUGAGUAUUCCCAUGGCAUAAGCCAGUAAGGUCACGGGAAGAACACCCGUUGAUAGGCUCUACGUGGAAGCGCAGUAAUGUGUGAAGCGGAGGAGUACUAAUAGACCGAGGGCUUGACC